UUUCCGUAGGUGAACCUGCGGAAGGAUCAUUACCGAGUGAGGGUCUUUCAGGCCCGUCCUAACACCCUGUGUUUUUGUGACAUUGUUGCUUUGGCGGGCCCGCUUCGAUGAGAGUCCGCCGGGAGUACCACGCUUUGGGCCCGUGCCCGUCAGUAGCCACCUCAAAUUUUUAAUAAAACUGUCGUCUGAGUUAAUGGAUAUAAUUAAAAAAAACUUUCAGCAACGGAUCUCUUGGUUCUG
rnacentral:misc_RNA from 1 species